rnacentral:rRNA from 1 species
AGAACAAACGCUGGCGGCGUGCCUAAUACAUGCAAGUCAAACGGGGAAAGCUUUCGGGUGAGUACUAGUGGCGCACGGGUGAGGAAUACGUAGGUAAUUUGCCUUGAAGAGGGGGAUAACUUUCCGAAAGGAAAGCUAAUACCGCAUAAGACCACAGGAUCUGCGGAUCUAGGGGUAAAAGGUUUUUCGCUUCAAGAUAAGCCUGCGUCAGAUUAGCUAGUUGGUGAGGUAACGGCUCACCAAGGCAACGAUCUGUAACUGGUCUGAGAGGAUGAUCAGUCACACUGGAACUGAGACACGGUCCAGACUCCUACGGGAGCAGCAGUAGGGAAUAUUGCACAAUGGAGGAAACUCUGAUGCAGCGACGCCGCGUGAGCGAUGAAGGAUUUCGGUCUGUAAAGCUCUGUCGUAAGGAAAUAAAAAAAAUAGAAUGUACCUUGACAAGAAAGGAUACGGACUAACUUCGUGCCAGCAGCCGC